AGCAGUCGCCGCGGGAAUACAGAGGGUGCGAGCGUUAAUCGGAUUUACUGGGCGUAAAGCGUGCGUAGGCGGCUUUUUAAGUCGGAUGUGAAAUCCCUGAGCUUAACUUAGGAAUUGCAUUCGAUACUGGGAAGCUAGAGUAUGGGAGAGGAUGGUAGAAUUCCAGGUGUAGCGGUGAAAUGCGUAGAGAUCUGGAGGAAUACCGAUGGCGAAGGCAGCCAUCUGGCCUAAUACUGACGCUGAGGUACGAAAGCAUGGGGAGCAAACAGGAUUAGAUACCCCCGUAGUCCCUGUCUCUUAUAA
rnacentral:rRNA from 1 species